AUGUGUGCUAAUCCCCAAAAUAAUCCCUUAAAAUCCAACGCACAGUGUUUAAUUGUGAAAAGCUGGGACAGGAAGUUGUAGAUUUAUGCUGGUUAGCGUAACAGCGGUUGCCGCCGGGGUCUACGGGACCGUCCCUCCCAGGAAGACAGAACCCGACACCGCCUCCUGCUCCUCCUGCCUCCGUCGUUGAGGGCCGUCCUGGAGAGCGGUUCGCCGUCUCUUCUUCGUGGUGGACACCGUGUCAUCACUCAUUUUUAUUCAUCGAGCUGGUUAGCAGCCUUUUCUAUUUAAUUCAGUUGCUUGUUUGGGCUUUUAGCCAGAGAGUGUGUGAGGGACGGACACAUUUAGAUUCAGACAACGUGACUGCAUGCUACGAGCGACGAGAAAUAACGGAAAGCAGGAGCAGCGAAAAAGCCUGAAAAGGACCGGUUGUUGAUUUCACCAAGAUAAACAACUGGCACAACAAGUGUCAGCUGCUGAUGUCGGAGGCCAUCGGCUAUUUGCAUCUCUCUUUGCCCGGCAGGAUUCAUUGUAGUUGCUGACCUGCCUGACAGUGGUUCAUCUUUUGUUAUUGUUUUUUUUUGUUUGUUUGUUUGUUUUUUACCGGCCUGAUGGGAAUCAAUGUUAUCCAGCAUAACUCCAGCAGUGUUGCCAGCUGUUCACCAUCCUGGUCUUCUUUGGUCCCCACACACAGUAGUGCAUAAAUAAGAGAGGCAGAAUUAGAAAAUAUUCACCAGCUGUGCCAGCCGGCAUCUCCCUGCCACUGCCCCAUGAAACCUUCACUCCACCUUUCCCGCUGCAGCUGAGCCACAACCUCACCCCAUCACAACCUCAUACACAGUAAUUUUUCACUGACUUUUAAGUCUAGCAGUAUUGCAGUGUUUGUAGCUGAGUAACCAGUAAAAAGGUUUUCCUUUCUAUCUGUUGCCUCAGAUUCUUUGAAAGCUUGCAGAAGUUUAAAGUGCUGUCAUUGGCUGUGCAGUUAAAAAAAAAAACCUUACAGAACUGUAUCAAUCAGCAAAAUAGCUACACAAAAAAACAAGACCUAAACAACCGAUGUACAUAGCAGACUUAUAAAUAUUUAGUUAUGUUUAAUAUUUAAAGAUCUUUUAUAUGCAAGCACAGGAAAUGUAUCCCUAGAAUUGGGAUACGUCCAUAUUCUAUGAAAACAUGGUACUUGGUAAUUGCAUUUUUGCAUGUGAGGUACAUUUUUUUCUGUCAUGUGGUGCAACAGACUAGCAGACUUUGUAUUUAAAAAUGAUUUACUUCAAAUGAUAGCUGUGAGUAGUUCUUUUAAUCUUGAGUAGUUCUGUACAUGCUACAACACUUUAUCUACACAAAGCCUAUCAUGCAGUUAAUACAACCUUUGACAAGUGAAUAAAAUAACCACCAUUACAAUCCAACACUUUUAAUGUGUCAGUGGUAAUAAAAUUUAAAAGGGUCUACAUGUAAACAUGUCGCACCACAAAACAUGAAAAAGCGCCAGUGGCCUUGGAGAUCCGACAAAGUGCUAUGUAAUGAAAAUAAUUGUUACUCAAAACCCUCUUGAUGUGUCACUUGUUACUUUACCAUUUGCAGUGUGGCAUCACAAACUAUUCAGAGAAAAUGUAUUCAGUCAGAGCAAACACUGGUUUGUUGUUAUUAUGUACAGACUUUAGAACCAGAGUAAUGGAGUGAACUGUACAAAAAAGAUUUCACUAGUGGUCAAGUUAUAGUUGUAGUUAUGCCAAGUUAUAGGACUAGUUACUACUAGUUAAUGCAGACACGGACUGUUUACAAAUCAGAUCAAGCCUGCAGCUCUUACAAACUAAGUAAAGAUACAAGUGCAGUCUUUACCCAAGGAUCAUGAGACAUCAGCUGGUAAACUUAAGUGCACAGCAAGGAGGUUGCUAAUAGGAUUGUUACCUUUAAACCAUGUGUUAACACACACACUUGCCCUCUCUCCCUCCUCAUCACUACAUUCUCAGAAUACCAAGAACAGAUUUGAAAUGUAAAUCCCUUCUGCUGAAUGCCAUCUCAGGGUCUGUGACCAGCCAGCCACAUCAGCACCCACAGUGUCAUUGCUUAAAGUACUGUUAAUGUGUUAAGUACAUAAUAAAACAAUAGUUGAUGGAUUUAUAGUAAGAUUUUUUUAAAGCUUUGUUUUUUAUUACCCCUCAGGCAUAAAAGGCUAAUGGGGUAUUGUUGUCAGGAACGGCGGGCGACGUGGACACCCAAGUUUAUGAAUGUGAGGAGACGUAGGAGGAGAAGUGGGAGCUUCAAAUUGAUACCAUGGGUGCAUCUACUAAAAAUCUUAGAUGAGUUCAGAGUAUGUUUUCUGAAAACCUUGUGAAUGUGAUAACUUGAGGACAAGACAAGGUAGGAUUUUGAAAUUGAUACUAUAGGUGUCGCUACUAGGGAGCUAAAGGGUAGUGCUGACAAUUGCCUGUAUUUUUAUAGUUUUUAGUUGUGUGUUAUGACCAAAAAUUUGGGUAACCAUAUUUUAUUUUCACUUUUUUUUAACACAGUAUAGUAUUUUAUUAGUGUUUAGACUUGAUUAUUAAUUUUGCACAAGUGGGUACUUUUUUUAGCUUUUUAAUGGCUUUUUCUUCCAUCAGGAGUGUAUAGAAAAGGAAAAUAAAAUACUCAUAAGCUCUACUAACCUAAAGUAAAUAUUAGACACAGGAA